GACGAACGCUGGCGGCGUGCUUAACACAUGCAAGUCGAACGGAAAGGCCCUGCUUUUGUGGGGUGCUCGAGUGGCGAACGGGUGAGUAACACGUGAGUAACCUGCCCUUGACUUUGGGAUAACUUCAGGAAACUGGGGCUAAUACCGGAUAGGAGCUCCUGCUGCAUGGUGGGGGUUGGAAAGUUUCGGCGGUUGGGGAUGGACUCGCGGCUUAUCAGCUUGUUGGUGGGGUAGUGGCUUACCAAGGCUUUGACUGGUAGCCGGCCUGAGAGGGUGAACGGCGACAUGGGGACUGAGGGACGGCCCAGACGCCUACGGGGGGCAGCAGGGGGGAAUAUGGCACAGUGGGCGGGAGCGUGAGGCGGCAACGCCGCGUGCGGGAUGACGUCUUUCGGGUUGUAAACCGCUUUCGCCUGUGACGAAGCGUGAGUGACGGUAAUGGGUAAAGAAGCACCGGCUAACUACGUG
rnacentral:rRNA from 1 species